AGCGAACGCUGGCGGCAGGCCUAACACAUGCAAGUCGAACGCCCAGCAAUGGGAGUGGCAGACGGGAUAGUAACACGUGGGAACGCGCCCUUCGGUUCGGAAUAACUCAGGGAAACUUGAGCUAAUACCGGAUACGCCCUUACGAGGAAAGAUUUAUUGCCGAAGGAACGGCCCGCGUCGGAUUAGCUAGUUGGUGAGGUAAUGGCUCACCAAGGCGACGAUCCGUAGCUGGUCUGAGAGGAUGACCAGCAUCACUGGGACUGAGACACGGCCCACGACUCCUACGGGAGGCAGCAGUGGGGAAGUAUUGGACAAUGGGCGCAAGCCUGAUCCAGCCAUGCCGCGUGGAUGAUGAAGGCCCUA
rnacentral:rRNA from 1 species